rnacentral:rRNA from 1 species
GAUGAACGCUAGCGGCAGGCUUAAUACAUGCAAGUCGAGGGACAGCACAGGUAGCAAUACUGGGUGGUAACCGGCAAACGGGUGCGGAACACGUACACAACCUUCCUUUAAGUGGGGGAUAGCCCAGAGAAAUUUGGAUUAAUACCCCGUAAUAUAGUUGAAUGGCAUCAUUUGAUUAUUAUAGCUACGGCGCUUAAUGAUGGGGGUGCGGCUGAUUAGAUAGUUGGCGGGGUAACGGCCCACCAAGUCUACGAUCAGUAGCUGAUGUGAGAUCAUGAGCAGCAACAAGGGACCUGAGACACGGGCCGGACGCAUAAGGGAGGCAGCAGUAAGGAAUAUUGGUCAAUGGACGCAAGUCUGAACCAGCCAUGCCGCGUGAAGGAUUAAGGUCCUCUGGAUUGUAAACUUCUUUUAUUUGGGACGAAAAAGGGCCUUUCUAGGUCAACUGACGGUACCAGAUGAAUAAGCACCGGCUAACUUCGUGCCAGCCGCCGCCGUAAUAC